CAUUAAUGUAAUGAUCAACAGUAUUUGCCAUCCUAGGAUAAAAUGUCAUAGGAGGGGAAGUCCAAAAAGUGCUAACAUUUUGGGUUUGCUCUGAUGAAGAAAAACUUAACUGUGAAGUUCAGAAAUCACGUAUGAAACCAUAAACGACCUCCAUACUUAGCUGGAGAACUUGGAACGGAAGAAUGAGCUGGAACAACCUGCCCUGCUGUAUUAUCUCAGAGAAUAACACAAGGCUGCCAACAGCAAAAUUGAAGUUAUUUCAGAUCUUUCCAAAGUUCUAGACUCAAGAGAAAAGUCAAUUUUAAAAGAAGAUCACAGAAGAGACCCAAAAGGAAGAGUGCAACUUCUUCAGCUUUGCCAAAGACAUCUGGGAUUAGAGUAUUGAUGUUAUACGUGGUAUGGAGUGUCUCUAGGGCACAGAAGAAUCCAAAGGCAAGCAUUUGAGGUAUGCAGACGACCUUGAGCAAAGAGGAUAGAAACUAUUUCCAUGGAAGAUGCUCCCCAUUGAUGACUUGACAUUAGCACUGAUCAGCCAUUCAGUUGGAUAGUCCCAAACAACUCUUCAGGAACUGUUGGAGGAUUUUUUUUUUUAUUUUUGAAACCUAUCCAAAGGUUUUUUAUCUCAGAAAAUAGUGAUUAAAGAACCACUGAUCAUACAUUGGCACCUACUAUACCAAAUCAUCACAUCAGUAGAUGAGCAAAACUACCAACACAAAAGAACAUCCAAGGAGACAAUCAGAAGAUUUGCUGUGAACCACACUUCCAGGAGGUGAUGUCAGCAAAUAAAGAAGCGGUGGUUUUAGACUUGAGCAUCUAAAUUCUCAUUAUUCCACAGACUGAUGUCAGCCAUCAGAACUGGGGAGGAUUUCCUGAGGUUUCACCAUGCUCUGAAUAGUUUUUCAUGAUUCCCACCUGGAAAUUCAAGAUGGUGGAAGAUGCUUAUGGCACAGGGAAAAAAGUAAAGAUGCCAGAUGGUAUGAACCCUCAGCAAUCUCUACAGCCAGAUGAGUCACACUCAUUGCCAUCCACAACAGCACUCUCCAAGGCCUGUGAAACAAUAAGGUUUCUAAAGCAUGAGUAGUCCUAUCUACAGUUGUUGAUACAAAUACUUAAGUAUUAAGACCCUGACGUAACUCUGAAGCUCAGCAGCACGCCAAUACUGAGGAAAGAAAAGGCUUUCAAGGAGAAAAGGAGCACUGAUUUCUCUCUGAGUUUGCAGAGCUACAAUAAUAGGACAUAUCACAUAUACCAAUUCCAAAGAUAGUUAUUCAUACCAUCUAUGAACAACUCUCACAAAUGUUACAGAGUUUGGGGCAAGUUUAUCUUUAUAAAGAAUUCAUGACAUACCUCCUUUCAAUCAUCUCACAUCCACCCACACUGACAUUUCACAAACCAAACUUAUCCAUAAUACCUCUCAGCACAAGGCUUUUUCUACACAUUUGUUCAGGUCAGCAUGCAAAUGUUCUCACUUUCCAGUCUUAAAAAUAAAACAAAACAAAAACAACAACAAAACCCCACAAACUCCCACAUCCUUAUACAGAAGACUAUUCAAGGUCAAGAUCAAGCAAACAGACCUUUGUCCUCUUUUGUCCUCCUCUUAGUUUCUGCGAUACCUUCUUUGACACAGUGCAUUUUGUAUUUGCCAUCAGAAUGUUGCAAUUCUUGCAGCUUCUUUCUCCCUGGAAUAACAAGAUCAACCAGAAACAAAAUGGCAAAUUUUGAACAGUUUUGUCUACUUCCAUUGCAAAAAUAAGGAGAUAUGUCAUAAAAAUGAAAAAAUGAACGUUGAAAAAUUAAGUUAUAGAAAACCAAAUGCAGUCCUCUAUUAUUGAGGAAAAAACUCACUGUACCUAAUUUAUAUCAAGAACUAUAUCAUGAUUUAUUCUUUCAUGGUUAUUCAAAAAAAAAAAAAUUUUUUUUUUACAGCCAAUUUACUUCCUGUAUCUUAAUCACCUACUAAGUUGCCUACACCAGCUUGUGUUGUGUUUCUUUUUUUUUUUUCAAGGUAUAAAAACAGCUAAACAGUGCUUCCUGUAAUUAUGAGGAAACAGUUGUAUUUUUCUCUUUGGUGGACCUCAAUGUUAUACUUCACUUACAAGAAAAAAAAAGAAAAAAGGAAAAAAAAAACAGAAAAAAGAAAAAACAACAACUAGAACUGUCUUUCUAUGUCAAAGGAAUAUAUGUCUCAGCUGAAGACAACUUUUAUGUAUGAUAAUUAUAUUUCAUGAAUGGCAUUAAAAAUAUGAAAAGCACUCACAGAAAGUAAUCAGAGGGAAAGAACUUUUAUGGAAAAGAACAGUGCUAAAUCAUUAAGCAUACAAAAACACAUCUCUCUAUAUAGCUUAACAUGACAUAAAGGCAGAAAACGCUAAUUCAUAUUUACUGGCUCACCAAGACAAUUCUUCUACGAAAUUCCACAAGUAAUGCACAUUAUUAUUCUCUGAUUUACAGAUCUUUGUUGCAGAAGUAAAGUCACUUGCUCGUAGCUUGCUAGCAUGUCAUGGCACCAGCUGUAUGAAAAAAAUGAAUUUAUUUCUAACCUCAAAUAGCAUAAAUGAACUAUUACUAACCACAACGAAGUAAGGAUCCGUGGCUGCAGUUGCAGAUAAAAUUCCCCAUCAGCUUCUGAAUUUUACUCAUUUACCACUUUAGUGCAGUGCAGACUCAUUCAUGAAAACAGUUCUCAAAAAAAUGUGUAAGGACACUAAAUGGGUUUCAGAGGCUUUUCAUUUAUUUUUAAUCUUUGUUCCGAAGUAUGAAGCUGAUGCCAAUAAAAUGGCCAGUAGAGCUUUAUUUUAAGAAAAGUUA